rnacentral:tRNA from 1 species
GCCUAGGUGGCUCAGUCAGUUAAGCAUCUGACUUUGGCUCAGAUCAUGAUCUAGUGGGCCGGGGGUUCAAGAUCCCCACUGGGCU